CUAAACACGAUGAACAGAAAAAAGUAAGCAGCUGAUCAUUACAAGAGAGAUACCGGGUGGUGCAAGGUAUCAAUGAAUGGUUGCCGAAAUGCCUCUGGGAGUGGUCUUGGCGAAACACAGAAAACAGGAAAAACUGUUUUAUAGGAAACAAAGUAGCCAAGAACGUAUAACAGGCGUUAGCUGUCAGAGAUAAUCAUUGAUUAUGAAGAAAAGUGGAACCACGCGGAAAGCGUCUUUUGA
rnacentral:ncRNA from 1 species